rnacentral:rRNA from 1 species
UACGUAGGUGGCAAGCGUUAUCCGGAAUUAUUGGGCGUAAAGAGCGCGCAGGUGGUUGAUUAAGUCUGAUGUGAAAGCCCACGGCUUAACCGUGGAGGGUCAUUGGAAACUGGUCGACUUGAGUGCAGAAGAGGGAAGUGGAAUUCCAUGUGUAGCGGUGAAAUGCGUAGAGAUAUGGAGGAACACCAGUGGCGAAGGCGGCUUUCUGGUCUGUAACUGACACUGAGGCGCGAAAGCGUGGGGAGCAAACAGGAUUAGAUACU